GAUGAACGCUGGCGGCGUGCUUAACACAUGCAAGUCGAACGGAAAGGCUCCUGCUUGCAGGGGUACUCGAGUGGCGAACGGGUGAGUAACACGUGGGUGAUCUGCCCUGCACUUUGGGAUAAGCCUGGGAAACUGGGUCUAAUACCGGAUAGGACCAUGGUUUGGAUGCCAUUGUGGAAAGAUUUUCGGUGUGGGAUGAGCUCGCGGCCUAUCAGCUUGUUGGUGGGGUAAUGGCGUACCAAGGCGUCGACGGGUAGCCGGCCUGAGAGGGUGUACGGCCACAUUGGGACUGAGAUACGGCCCAGACUCCUACGGGAGGCAGCAGUGGGGAAUAUUGCACAAUGGGCGCAAGCCUGAUGCAGCGACGCCGCGUGGGGAAUGACGGCCUUCGGGUUGUAAACUCCUUUCGCUAGGGACGAAGCGCAAGCGACGGUACCUGGAGAAGAAGCACCGGCUAACUACGUG
rnacentral:rRNA from 1 species